rnacentral:lncRNA from 1 species
CCAAGCCCAACAAGAAGGAAUUGGAACCCAAAUUCCACCCCAUAACUCGAGUCCUCCAAACCAAACUCCACUUGGCCAAAGACCUUAUUAUCCACCAAAUCCAAACCUGCCACUACAAGCUCCACUGAACCCGAAUAGACCCAUCCAACAUGAGGGGUAUGGGCCGUUUGAUGAUGGUUACAUGAGGGGGGAAGAGGUAAG